UGUGUUCCGCUGACUUAAGCAUAUCAAUAAGCGGAGGAAAASAAACUAACAAGGAUUCCCCUAGUAACGGCGAGUGAAGCGGGAAGAGCUCAAAUUUGUAAUCUGGCGGUCUCAGGCCGUCCGAGUUGUAGUCUGGAGAAGCGUUUUCCGCGUCGGACCGUGUACAAGUCCCUUGGAACAGGGCGUCAUAGAGGGUGAGAAUCCCGUCUUCGACACGGACUACCGAUGCUUUGUGAUGCGCUCUCGAAGAGUCGAGUUGUUUGGGAAUGCAGCUCARAACGGGUGGUAAAUUCCAUCUAAAGCUAAAUAUUGGCGAAAGACCGAUAGCGAACAAGUACCGUGAGGGAAAGAUGAAAAGCACUUUGGAAAGAGAGUUAAACAGUACGUGAAAUUGUUGAAAGGGAAACGCUUGAAGUCAGUCGCGUCUUCCGGGACUCAGCCUUGCUUCUGCAUGGUGCAUUUCCCGGGGUGACGGGCCAGCAUCGAUUUCGGUCGCCGGAGAAAGGUCGAGGGAAUGUGGCACCUUCGGGUGUGUUAUAGCCCUCGAUCGUAUGCGGCGACGGGGAUCGAGGAUCGCAGCACGCCUUCAUUGGCCGGGGUUCGCCCACGUAACGUGCUUAGGAUGCUGGCGUAAUGGCUUUAAGCGACCCGUCUUGAAACACGGACCAAGGAGUCUAACAUGCCUGCGAGUGUUUGGGUGGAAAACCCGGACGCGGAAUGAAAGUGAAAAGUUGGGACCUCUGUCGUGGAGGGCACCGACGCCCGGACCAGACCUUCUGUGACGGUUCCGAGGUAGAGCAUGUAUGUUGGGACCCGAAAGAUGGUGAACUAUGCCUGAGUAGGGUGAAGCCAGAGGAAACUCUGGUGGAGGCUCGUAGCGAUUCUGACGUGCAAAUCGAUCGUCGAACUUGGGUAUAGGGGCGAAAGACUAAUCGAMCCMYCUAKKWKMKGGUUCCUGCGCGAGUCCCUCCGGAUGAAAAAGGAAAAAAA
rnacentral:rRNA from 1 species